AUCUAUAUAUAUAUAUAUAUAUAUAUAUAUAUAUAUAUAUAUAUAUAUAUAUAUAGAUAAAAGUGAACUUUGGUCCACUCAAGGCUAGUUUAAAUAGAGCAUGAAUGAAUUAUUGCAUACAGCCGGGCUUACAAUAACGAAAGCAGUCAGUAGGUUUUGCACUUUGAAUACCUAAAUACAUUUGACCUGAUCACUGAGAACCCCUGCAAAAUGCAUACUUUAAUAAACAAUGUACAUUAUAAUGGGUUUAUAUUAAAGUAAACUGUGUAAUACACAUUCUUCUCAUCACAUUUGUUUAUCAACAAAUAUGUCAGAUAUAUGCAGAUACCUAAUUCCUGGGGAUAGAUGGUGAUAGUUAAAGCUAAAUAAUGAGCUUGGAGAGCGGUGCUUUGUUUAAUUCUCCCCAGACAUAUGGUACAGCAUGGUAGUAGGUAAAUCGGAUAGUCUACAAUUAAUGAUAUUCUCUAUCUUAUGGAUCAUCAGAGGGUAUUUAUUCUCAUAGUUUUAGCCAAUAUUUGGAAAUGUAAAUGGAAUUGAAUUGAAUAGCCGAUUUCAAUGGACUCAUAUGGCAAAUCCACUUCUAUGUUUUUCUUUUAAAUAUGUGGCUUGCAAUGUGCCGUAGGAUGGUGUUUAGUACAAGUGGGAUGGAAGCUGGAGACGUGAUGUCAUCUGUGGCUCUGUGUCCAAUGUCUGCCAUCUCCCUGCAGGCAUCACUGAGUAAGAUGCCUUCCGCCCGCCUGCUCAUUGAUGACAUGUAUGUCCAUUAGAUCUGAAGAAUUCGUCUAGGUGCGAGGCUGAGGAGGACAGUCUCUUGGUGAGUUCCCUGUACCUCUACGGAUGUCAUGGUGAUGUCAGCUGAAUACAGCAUCCCUGUGUAUUAACAAACGGAUGAAUGGCUGUGCAUUGGAUCGAUAUCUUCAUUGAACAUUAUUGCGUGUAAUGUAUAUGAAUACAAAUAUUUGUUUGGCAUUCUGUCGCGUUUGAAGCCUUUGUUGGUUUUGGGUUGACUGAAAAAACCUACAGUGACCAGUUUUUAAGGUAUUGCAAGCACAACCGGUAAAAAGUAAUUGUUGACAUUUUUCUCUAAUGCUUAUUUUGUCCUUGUUUUACUGGC
ensembl:lncRNA